AACCUAAAGACUAAACCAACCACACCCUCUUCUCCCUCACACCUCCUGCUAUCAUAACCCAACCCAAACCUCACCAUAAACGAACCCUCAUGGUCCCCCCUUCCUCUCCUUUCUCUCUUUCACGUUAUCAAGACCAUAACGACCUCUGUCAGAAGAAGAUAUUCCAUUUUACCCGUUUCUACGCGCUCUUGCUUCCCUUGGUUAGAAUUCGGAUUAAUGGUAGACGUAGGAUUUGAAGACUUUAAAUCCUAGUUUUUCAUUUGUCUUAGAACCAUCCAUAAAGAAGAACAAGAGGGGAUUUUCAUUUGGGGGCAGGGAAUUUUCGGAAUUUAUUGAAGGGCAAAUUCGGGUUUUUGGGGGGAAUUUCUUGUUGAAGAAGGAGAAGCUUCGAGAGGGAGCUAUAUAUUUGGGUCUGGACAGAGAUGGGGGAGGUUUUUAUUUCGGAGAAAAUUAGGAAAAGAAGAAGGGCGAGGGUUUUCUGAUUUUCAUGUUCUUCUUUCCAAUUUUCACUUCAUUGGCGUACAAAAAGCUUAGAGCUCUCUAUUAGUCUUUCUUUUGAUUUUCAAAACAGAAAAUACCAAAAAAAAAUAUCAGCUUCUGAUUUGUUUAACAAGAAAUGGAGUUUAGCUGAGGUCCGUCAACUGCUCGAGAGGUAUUUGUUCGUGGUUCCUACCGCUGCUGUGUCGCUGGUUCGAUUCCUGUUUGUCUGCUACUAUUACUUCAAAUUUCAGUGCCGAGUUCACUUGUAUUCAAUUUCAAACGAACUUAAUUGAAGAAUUUUGCAAUUUCAGGUUCACCUCUCUCCUUCCUAUUCUUGUUAAUGGUCAUUGAAACAUGAUAAAAGCCGUAGGUUUGUCAAAUUUGGACAGUGUUUGAGUCGACUUAGAAAAGGGAUGGGUUGAGGGAUGAUUUGCGCGAACAUGUAUGGGAGUUAUACUUAAAUGUUCUGGAAUGCCUUUUGGCUCGGAUUAUUUGCCUUGUGACCUGAAUGAUUGAUGUCCAAUCGAUUGUGAAAUGGUGCAAUUUAAUAUGUGUUCAUGCUUGUCUCGAUCGCUUUCAUUGAAUACUCGGGCUGCUGGUUUUGUUAUGUGAAUUAGCAUAUGAAAAUAAGUGAAUCAUGCUUAGAGUCAAGUUAUUCUGCCUGUCAUAUUGCAUUUCACUCACUGAUGUUGCAACUUACUGUUAAUUUUGCUCGUCCUUGUUAGUUUCCCUAUAAUUCACAUGUCUGCACGCACUUAAGAGUUAUUGAAUGUUAAUCUGACUCUAACAUACACUUCAACCUAGUGAGUUUGUUGAUUAAUGGCAUCCCUGAUUUGCAUAUUGAGAUCAUUUCCUCCAUGAAAGGUAUUCUUGCAUGUUUCAGUCCAUAACCCUUUUUUUUAAAACACAUGGCAUUUGGUGCUUUGCUUCUUUUGUUAACUAGAAGAUCGAUCGCAUAGCUAAGGUCUAGGAUGAUUAUUUCAUUGCUCCCGAGUUUAUUUUGUUGGCUUAUUUGAGUUGAACCUGGAUAAUUGACAAAGUUGGAAUAUCUGCGAUUGUGAUUUAAUGUUGAAUCGCAUUGAGUGUAAUCAGAUUACUAAUGUUUAGAUUCAUUCAUAUCUGGUGAUUUCUUAUUGAUGUGUCUAUGUGCAUCCAACUUCACUUGUAAACAACAAAAGGUUAGUAUUCAUGUUUUGCGGAGACCGUAUUUGAACCAAGGAAUUAGAAGCCCUGUUGUUGCCCUUUGCAUAACUCAGGUGAUGGUGAUUCCAUAUGCAUUGGACUGCAAAGUCCUUCUGUUAAGAUAAUAGAUUAGAUCUUCAUAUAAAGGACCAAUACAUGUGUAGCUUUAGUGCAUUAAACAUGAAUUGUUUCUCUCAUUUUCUCUGUAGGGAGUUUAUGCUUUGGUGAGGCCUAAGGCGUAUAUUUUAAUGUGCUUGCUUGCAUGUGAUAUCCUAGAAUAUUUUAAUGUGUUUGUCUGCUUGUGAUGUCCCAGAUGGCCGAAUGGUUUUAUCAAUUGCCCUUUCACGUUGGUUUGUUCCAAUAGAAAACCAUGUUCUUAUGUUCUGUUGAUGAGUCGGCGUCAUGCGGGUGUUACAUAAGUUUCAAUUGAAUUUAAGACAGGGUCCUUCAUUUAAAUGGUGUUAGUUGGGGUGCUGUGAGUGAGAUCAACAAGACGUAGGUGGCUCUUAUCAUAUUUCAAGCAUACCAACUCUUCUUUAUUCUAUUUUGUUACUAUCUUCUUUAUUAGUUUAUUGCCUCAGUGUUUGUUUGUCUUUCUGUAUUAUUUGGCCUUAUGGAAUUUGUUCAGUUGAAUGAUUGUUGGGCUGUGGGGGUAGGGAGAUGCCGAAGCCCAUUAGCAAUUAAUUUAUUUCCCUGCUUUAGGUAACCGGCUCGGCCUAAUAAAAUGAAAAGUUAAAAACAAAACAUGAGCAUGAAUCGAAUUGUUUCUUUUACUUAGUUCUUUUGUUUAGUUCUUUUUAUUUUCUUUAUUGAUGAUAUCAUUCGUUAGGAGCAUGUCUAGGCCGACUACAACUUGGUUAGGCAAGCCUUAGGAUUUUUAUUAGUUUCGAGGUGAGAGGUCAUUCCCUUAGUUAAAUUUGUCCGGGGAAUGCCCCGAGGGAUUUGUAUAUAUUUUAUUAUUUCAGGGGUAUGCCUCAAAAUGAAUGUAAAUGGAAGCCAAAAGUAGAAACCUGUAGUAUUUUUAUUUUAUCUUUAUUUUUUUAUUUAGGUGGGGAUGACCUCGAGCCUCUUGUGUGUUUAUUUUCCUUUUUCUGUGUUUUCUACCUCAAUUGAAUAUUUUAAAAUCCAACUUGAUCAUGUACGCAACCGUGACUUUCACGGGACUUGGGGAGUGCCUAACACCUUCUUCCCGAGUCAAAUAAACCCCCUUACCCGAAUCUCUGGUACAGACUUAAUUUUAGAGUCUCGAGUGUUUUGAAAGGAAAAAAUCAUUUUUAGAAAAAUGGUCACCUGACACACCGAAAUCAAAUAUCAGGUGGCGACUCUGAGUUAAUCCUUUUGAACACAAAUUUUUGUCACUUUC
rnacentral:lncRNA from 1 species